CUUUCCACAUGUUUUUCGACGUGACCUUCCGGAAACAGCCGAGCGCAGACGAAGACGGGAGACCAGCGGAGGCUCCUACGAUGGGAGACGAAAACGUGAAAUCCAAAGGAGCCGUGGUGUCUUUACCACAGCACUCCUACUGGUUCGACUUCUGGGUCUUCGUGCUGUUCGACCUCGCUUUGCUCCUCGUCAUGUAUUUCAUGUUCCCUUAAAAAAAGGGUCUUCCAUGUGGAUUUGGACGCCUGAUACGUGAUGUGCUGUCCUGCCCUGCUGUCAUGGACGCCUGCCCGGCUGUGACUGAAAUGAAAGCUGCAUGACUGGAUAUUGAGUCACAGGUUUCCAGGACUCAGACCAUGUGAUUCCAACAUGUCAACCCCAGGCGUCCUACUUCCAUGUCAGAUAUUUGAGCCACAGCACCUUUUCCUCAUUGGUAACCUGUUGCUGUUUGCUGUGGUGCGGUUCAGCGCGGGAUCACUGUGUGACUGCAGGGGGCCGAUGCGUUUCCAACUAAAUAUGUGUAAUAUUUAAAAAUGACAGUUUUAUUGUCAUGAUUCCUAAAAUGCAUUUGCUUUAAAAAAUGACCAAAAAACACUUUUCAUUUGUGCAGGCCGAUCACUAUGAAUGUAAAACAUUUGAGCAAAUCUGCUUCAGCGUUCUUGAAUGAAUUUUUUAUUAUCGACUAACUUGUUUUGUUGUUAUUUGUGUUCGCUUUACAUUGCCUAAUAAUAAGCGGCUCGACAACAAAGCUCUGAGAACAGAGGGGAGAACAGUUGUGGAAAUGGUGUGGAGUUGUAAAUAAGAUGAUGUGAUGAUCCACUGUGUGUCUUGAAAGACACCAGAGGGACAAGAACAGGAUUUUUUCCCUCCUUCCCAAACAACGAUCACUGUGAUGUUGAAGAAUCUGAUUCCAUUAUACCCGUGAUAAAAAA